rnacentral:rRNA from 1 species
GUCGAACGCUGGCGGCGUGCUUAACACAUGCAAGUCGAACGGAAAGGCCCUGCUUUUGUGGGGUGCUCGAGUGGCGAACGGGUGAGUAACACGUGAGUAACCUGCCCUUGACUUUGGGAUAACUUCAGGAAACUGGGGCUAAUACCGGAUAGGAGCUCCUGCUGCAUGGUGGGGGUUGGAAAGUUUCGGCGGUUGGGGAUGGACUCGCGGCUUAUCAGCUUGUUGGUGGGGUAGUGGCUUACCAAGGCUUUGACGGGUAGCCGGCCUGAGAGGGUGACCGGCCACAUUGGGACUGAGAUACGGCCCAGACUCCUACGGGAGGCAGCAGUGGGGAAUAUUGCUCAAUGGGCGGAAGCCUGAUGCAGCAACGCCGCGUGCGGGAUGACGGCCUUCGGGUUGUAAACCGCUUUCGCCUGUGACGAAGCGUGAGUGACGGUAAUGGGUAAAGAAGCACCGGCUAACUACGUG